UUCCCCUUCUUCGGCUAGGCAGAUAUGGGUGUGCAUGGGUAGGGGAGAUUGUCUCAAUAUGUUAAACCAAUGAUGUGUUUUGCAUACAAAUAGAAACUAGUACAAGAGCAUUUCAUUAAGGAAAGUAUCGCUGUUUCUGCAUGACCUAGGGAAAAUUAAUAUUCUAAAUACAAAAUCAUGUGACUUGGGGUUUUGCCUCUUUCCAGCAAUCAAAGCCGUGAAAAGCUGUCUGGAAUAAAGCUUAGGUUUCUUCUUCAUUCCUAUGAGCCAUAUUAUUUCCUUGUUGAAGAAAAGAUACAAUGGAAAAAAUAGUGUGUGCAGUUUUUAGGCAGCUUUAUAUUCUGGAUGUUAUAUUCAUUCAACAGAUAUUUAUUAAACCCUUGAGAUGUGUCAGACACUGUGGUAGGUACAGGAGUGAACAAGAGACAUGGUUCCUGCCCCCAGACAGCUUAUAUUUUUAUGGGGGGAAACAGAUACCAAACAAAUGAUUAUGUCAAUGAAUAUGUAAUUUCAAUUGUGAUAAGGGUUGGGAAGGAAAAGCUCAAGAAAUUGAGACAGUAUAUUGCAUUAGGAUUCAUUCACUCAUUCAGAUGACUUUUCAUUUUCUUGCUUUAUUCAAAGACAAGGAAGGCACCACUGCAGCCUGGUGAGGGAGGCUUGCCCUUGCAGACUGUCUCCUGGGGGCCCCUGAGACACUGGGUAGCAGUUCACCCAAAGGAGUAGGCAGGACGUGGUGCUGAGAGGAGGAGCUGCCAUGUUAUCUGAGAGCUGAAAAGUUUUCCGGGCACAAGACCACAUGGGCAAAGGCAAGGGGAAGGGCAGGGCAUGCUUUCAGAGGAGAGUGAAUAGUUCUAGGAAACCAGGGGAGGAGACCUGCAAGGUUUGGAAGUAAGCCUGGAAAAUCAGGCUGAAGAGCCAUUGAACAAGAUGCCUUUUCUUCUUAUGAAAGCCAAGGGGUACAGAUGUGGAGCCCAGAUUGCUAUAGCCAGCAUGCUGUCUGGUUGCCGACCUCAAGCUGAAGCUCUCACCCCCAGUAAAGUACAGUCUGCAUGGUUUUGUAUGCCCCUUACUCACAUGUGAUCCUAGGUAGGAUACACAGUGGAGAUUAAUCAUUGUAAGUACCUCACAGGAGGUUUGGCAGGGUGCGUGGCUCAUAGUAAGUGCAUAAUAAAUGUUAAUUAUUUUUAUUCAUUUAUUAAAUACUUACUGAGAGUCUGCUAUGUCCAGGCACCAUGCUAAGUACUAAGGAUAGACAGUAAGCAAGAAAGACA
rnacentral:lncRNA from 1 species